AUUGAACGCUGGCGGCAGGCCUAACACAUGCAAGUCGAACGAGUGGCGGACGGGUGAGUAAUGUCUCGGAAACUGCCUGAUGGCGGGGGAUAACUAAUGGAAAAGGUAGCUAAUACCGCAUACCAUAAGAUGUGCCCAGAUGGGAUUAGCUUGUUGGUGGGGUAACGGCUCACCAGGGCGACGAUCCCUAGCUGGUCUGAGGUGAUGACCAGCAACACUGGAACGGAGACACGGUCCAGCCUCACCCGGGAGGCAGCAGUGGGAAAUAUUGCACAAUGGGCGCAAUCCUGAUGCAGCCAUGCCGGGUGUAUAAAGAGGGCUUUCGGGUUUUAAAGUACUUUAAGCGGGGAGGCGUUACCCGCAGAAGAAGCACCGGCUAACUCCGUGCCAGCAGCCGCGGUAAUUC
rnacentral:rRNA from 1 species